GGAAUUCCUAGUGUAGCGGUGAAAUGCGUAGAUAUUAGGAAGAACACCGGUGGCGAAGGCGACAAACUGGACGAUAACUGACGUUGAGGCACGAAAGUGUGGGGAGCAAACAGGAUUAGAUACCCUGGUAGUCCACACCGUAAACGAUGGAUACUAGGAGUUGGCAAAAAUAUUGUCGGUUCCGCAGUUAACGCAUUAAGUAUCCCACCUGGGGAGUACGACCGCAAGGUUAAAACUCAAAGGAAUUGACGGGGGCCCGCACAAGCAGUGGAGUAUGUGGUUUAAUUCGAAGAUACGCGAAGAACCUUACCAAGGCUUGACAUACAGAGGAAUAAGUAGGAAACUAUUUAGCUCUUCGGAGUCUCUGUACAGGUGGUGCAUGGUUGUCGUCAGCUCGUGUCGUGAGAUGUUAGGUUAAGUCCUGCAACGAGCGCAACCCCUAUUUCUAGUUGCCAGCACGUAAUGGUGGGAACUCUAGAAAGACUGCCGGUGAUAAAUCGGAGGAAGGUGGGGACGACGUCAAAUCAUCAUGCCCUUUAUGUCUUGGGCAACACACGUACUACAAUGGCCGUUACAGAGAGAAGCAAUACAGUGAUGUGGAGCAAAACUCAAAAAGCGGUCUCAGUUCGGACUGUAGGCUGAAAUUCGCCUACACGAAGUCGGAAUUGCUAGUAAUGGCAGGUCAGCAUACUGCGGUGAAUACGUUCCCGGGCCUUGUACACACCGCCCGU
rnacentral:rRNA from 1 species